rnacentral:rRNA from 1 species
UACGAAGGGGGCUAGCGUUGCUCGGAAUCACUGGGCGUAAAGGGUGCGUAGGCGGGUCUUUAAGUCAGGGGUGAAAUCCUGGAGCUCAACUCCAGAACUGCCUUUGAUACUGAGGAUCUUGAGUUCGGGAGAGGUGAGUGGAACUGCGAGUGUAGAGGUGAAAUUCGUAGAUAUUCGCAAGAACACCAGUGGCGAAGGCGGCUCACUGGCCCGAAACUGACGCUGAGGAGCGAAAGCAUGGGGAGCGAACAGG